CAUCUCCAUCACCUUGUGACGAAGUGUUAGCCUGAGCCUCAAAAAUGCCCCUUCCAGUGAGCAAGACAUCGAUGCCACAUUAGGUGUGGCCAGAAACCUACUCAAUAUGAACCUGAUUCAACAACCAUCAUAUGAUGAGAAUUGUCAUCAUAUGAGCUCCCCAGCUGUUUGAGUCUUCUCAGCCCAGAUGAUAGACAUGUGAGUGAGGAAGUCAUCGAUCAAGAUGACCCUAGCUCCAGUCACCAUCUGACUACAACCAAGAAUGACUCAACUUUGCCCAGGUAACCUUCAGAUUCAUGAGCAAAAGAAAUAAUUGCUAUUGUUUUAAGAUACUGUUUUGGAAUAUGUUUAUACAACAAAAACUGCAUAGUAUAGGAGGUGAUAUUUGAUUAGGUACCUGAAUGCAUUCAGAGAGGAAGCUGUGUGAGGGCCUGGAAAAAGCAUUCUGAGCUGAGGGUAAAAUAAAUACAAAGGCCCUGAGGUGGCUCAGAUCAGCCCUGAGCAAAUAUGGUGUUAGAGCAGAAUGAGCAAAAAAGACAGUGCAAAUAUACCUGGAGAUAAGGGCAGGAUGUGACUCUACUCUGUAGGCCUGGACUAGAGUUUUGGAUUUGAUGCUGAGCUUGCUUACAAUUCUUAGAGGAGUUUGAGAGCAGAAGUAACACUCAUAUUUGUGUUUUCCAAAGAUUUCUCUUGUUGCUGGGUUGAGAAUCGACAAUUGGGGAGUGGACAAGAAUGGAUGUAGGCAAGAAAUGAUAGUGAUUUAGGCUUAAAGAGUCCCCAUGGAGACAGUGAGAGGCACAUGUCUUAAAGGUAGUACCAACAGGACUCACUGUUAGGUUCCAUGUGGGAAUGGUACAAAUAGAGGAGUCAAGUCUGAUUCCCAGAUUUUUAUAUGAGUAACAUGGUGAAUAGUGGGGCAGGGUGGGUGGGAAUGGGUAGAGAAAUCAAUAGGUGUGUUUUGGACAUGUUAAGUUUGUGUUACCUAUUAGAAUUUCAGGAAGAGAUGUUGAAUAAGCAAUUGGACAUUGGACUCAGGGAAGGGAUCUGCACAGCAGACGCAGCUGUGGGGGCUGUGGGAAUGUAAGUGGAAUUUCACACCACGAGACUGGAUGUGAGGGAGUGUCUAGAGUAAUGCAGAGGACUGUGCCAACAUUUAAAGGGAAUGUUACAUGUCUUUAUGCUGAUGGAGUGAUUUGAUACAAAGGGAAAUAUUGAUGAUGCAGGAAAGAAGGGUCAGAAUUAAAGGAGCAAAGUCCUCGGGUUAGGCCAGCACCGAGGAAGCCAGUAUGUAAGUGGACUGGUGGCCUCAGAGGAGCAUGCCUCUUUUAGCAUCACACAGGGGACUUGGCUGAGUUGCAGUUACUGCUCCCUUGUUAGCAUUCCUCACUAGACUGUAAGCCCAGUGAGAACAGGGACAGGGACCCUCAGCAAUGUGCUCAACAUGUACUGCAGCUCCUGACACAACGUCUGGCCCAUGCUGCAGACUUGGUACCUCUUUGCUGUAUUAAAUGGACAAAUAAACAAAAGACUGUAUUUGGGUAAUAGUAGUUGAUAAAUAAAUGCCUGUUAACUUAUAUUGAACAUGAAAAUGGUGAAUAUACCAAAGUAGGAGUAAAACUGCCAUUUUGGACAUCUUCAGUUUGUUGGGCCCAACUUUUCUAUUAAUGGAUGUUUGGGUGUUUUUCCAGAUUGUUGAGAUAAAUUUAACUAAAUUAAAUUAAGUGAUAAUUGCUAACACUUAUGAGUGCUUAGUUGAGUCAGGAACUCUUCCCUUAAGGGUUAAUAUUCAUUAUCAACCCUCACUUAGAGAGCCCUAGAUCAGCCCUGAAACAUAUACAAUA